CGGAGGGUGCAAGCGUUGUCCGGAAUCACUGGGCGUAAAGGGCGCGUAGGUGGCCUGUGGAAGUCUGCGGUGAAAGCCCGGCGCUCAACGCCGGGUCGGCCGUGGAUACUCUCGGGCUUGAGCUCACUAGAGGCAGAUGGAAUUCCGGGUGUAGCGGUGGAAUGCGUAGAGAUCCGGAAGAACACCGGUGGCGAAGGCGGUCUGCUGGGGUGAUGCUGACACUGAUGCGCGACAGCGUGGGGAGCAAACAGGAUUAGAUACCCUGGUAGUCCACGCCGUAAACGAUGGGCACUAGGUGCUUGGGGGAGCGACCCCCUGAGUGCCGUCGCUAACGCAUUAAGUGCCCCGCCUGGGAAGUACGGCCGCAAGGCUG
rnacentral:rRNA from 1 species